ACUUAAGGAAGAAGAUGUGAGACCCUGGGAAGUUACACAAAACAGGAAGAUCUACCCUGGGGGCAGCACUCUGGUGCUGGGGAAUAGCACAGACCAGCUAACAGUGACCUCAUCAGCUACAGAAAAAGGCAGCAUACCGAAGACAAGAUGGGAGAAACCAGGAAUCAGAGGCUGAUUUGUGUGUGAUGAAAAGAAUGUCAACAACAAGGAACAACAACAACAAAAGAGAAGAAGGGAGAAGAAUAGAAAUAUCUGCAGAAGUGAAAAAACAACUCAUCUGAAGGGGGACAGGUUAUCAAGGUAACAAAAUAUAUGGAAGAUCUCUUAUGUAAGGCCUUUCUAAAGAAAAUUUGUCAUUUGUUCAGUCAACAAUAUUGAGUAGCUACCAUGUACUAAGUACAUGCUAGGCCUUUGCUCUCAUGCAGUUUAUAUUCUAGUGGGAGAGACAGAUUUUAAUCAAAUAAUUAAGCAAACUAAAAAAUAAUUGCCAAUAAGGUAUGUGCUACAAGGGAAAAAUGUGUAAUGGGUAACCUGACUUUGAGGGAAUAAGGAAGGCUUCCUUGGAAGAAGGGAUGUUUGAGUAGAGAAGGACGAGUGAAAGGUAAGUUGGCAAUGGGAAUGAAGAGAAGAAGUGUGUUCCAGGAGAAGUGGACAGCAUGAAUAAAGGUCCUGAGGUGGGAUGGCAGAACGAAAAGAAAAUCAGAUAUCUUAAAUGCAGCAAAGGCCUGGGAGAGUGACCCAGGCAGGAAAAGACCCAAGUCAGCAGGGCCUCAUCUGCAAGAUUCCAGAGCCAAAGAAGGAGCUGGUAUGUUGGACAGCAGAGCUGAUGCAGAGAGCUGGAGCAGGAGGUGAUGGCCUCCUCAGCCCCCUUGCUGGUACUCAAUCGAGAUAAGCCUGCAUCUGUCAAAGGCACACAAAUCAGACCCAAACUGAAACUCUUUCCAGGAUAAUUCUCAGAACUGUCAACACAUGGCUUACCAAAAAACCAAAUCCACCCAACACUGUGAUCUUUCCAAAUAUUUCUAAACCUAUAAUGAAUUUUUAAGAAUUGGAAAUAAUUCAAGUGGGUUUUUUUUAAGACUUAAAAAAAUUUUUUUUAAUGUUUAUUUUUGAGAGAGAAAGAAAGCAUAAGUGGGCGAGGGGCAGAGACACACACACACACACACACACACACACACACACACACACACAGAAUCCAAAGCAGGCUCCAGGCUAUCAGCACAGAGCCUGAUGUGGGGCUUGAACUCACAAGCCACGAGAUCAUGACCUGAGCUGAAGUUGGAGCUUAACCAACUGAGCCACCCAGGUACCCCUUAAGACUUUAUUUUUAAGUAAUUUCUAUACCCAUUGUGGGGCUUGAACUUACAAUCCUGAGAUCGAGAGUUGCAUGCUCUAUCGAUUGAGCCAGCUAAGUGCCCCUCAAAUGGGGUUUCUGAAAUGGUCUGUGUUCUCAUAUACUGUUGGUAGGAGAGAAAAUUAGCAUGUCCCCUUAGGAAGGCAAUUUGGUAAUAAUUAUCAAAGCAUAAAAUGCAUAUUCCCUUACACCUAGCAAUUCCAUUCUAGGCACUCUGACAUACACAAAUACAUGUUUAAGAUAUACACAUAAGGAUGUUCAUCACAACCUUGUUUGCAAUAUCAAAAAGGAAAAAAAGGCAGAAACAAAUAUCCAUCAAUAUGGGAAGGUUAAAUAAAGUAUAGUAUAUCUGUACAAUGGAAUAUUAUGGAGCCUUUUUAAAAAACGAGGUAGAGCCAAAUGUGCUGCUUUUAAGAGGAUUUUCAGACAGGGACGCAUGGGUGGCUCAGUUGGUUAAGCCUCCAACUCUUGAUUUCGGCUCAGAUCAUGAUCUCAUGGUUCCUGGGUUCGAGCCCUGCAUUGGGCUCUGUACUCAUAUUGUGGAGCCUGCUUGGGAUUCUCCUCUCUCUCUGCCCCUUCCCAACUCUCAUCCUCAUGAGCUCGCUCACUCUCUCUCUCAAAAUAAAUAAACUAAAAAAAAAAAAAAGAUUUUCGGACAUAUUAAGUGAAAAAUGUAUGAUUCAGAAUAGACUGUAUAAUGCUAUCCCGUUUGAGUUUUAAAAUUUACAUGUAAACUGGUAGCAGGCUUUUUAAAACAUUAUGUUCUAUUUCCCUGCUCUCCCUAUUUAUGCCAAAAACCUUCCCUAUUUUGGAAACCAGAAAGAAGCACCCUGUUGCCACCGUACUGGUGAACAGAGGUUUCAAAUUAGUGGUUCCAGGCUUAGGCAGAAACAGGUACCAGAUACCAUGCCCUCCUAUAAAGAUGCUUAUAAAGUAGUAGCAAGUCACUGGUGAAGGGCACCUUGCUCCUGUCUUGGGUUGAGUCCUAUGGAAUGAAUGUUGGACCCCUAGAUAAGCUUAGGGAUCCAAGACUAGAGGGCAGUGUCCUGCCUUGGACAGAAGCCCCAGAGCAUUGCUCUACAUCACUGCCAUCACCAAUGCAUCAUGGGGAAAACAACACUGCCUGCGUGGGGUGGGGGGGUGGGGGGCAAGGCAGGCCUGGUGUGGCCAUGUGGAGACACUGGAAAGAGGGGGGCAGGCCAAUAUUUUCCCAUGGGGAAGUGGCUUAGGGUAGUGACAAGGGCACACCUUAGAAAAAUGUAUCUUAGUAGACACCAAUGUGUAAGGGUAACCACAUCUAAGAACCAGACCAACCAAUGGUUCAUCUUAAUGGGACCAGAAGAGCUAGGAUCAGAUGUUCACUUUCUACCUAUCCUAUUGACCUGUGGAGAGGACAGUUGUUCUAGAAAGGCAAAACUCCUAUUUACCUUUUCAAUUGCUUGGCUUGAGCCAGCUGUUCUCUAGAAUUUCUCUCUCCUUCCCCAUACAUGCUUCCUACUCAUGCUUUCAGAAGCAGCUCAGUGUCACUUCUUCUGUGAAGCCUUCUGGCUUCUAAUCAUUCCAUCUUCUGGGCUUUUAACAUGGCUUGAAUAAACUUCUGUAGCGUUUGAUCAGAGAAACAGAACACUAUGAGGAAAUUAAGGAUUUAGUGUAGGGAUUACAUCUUGUGCAGUUAUGGAAGUUGAUGGAGAAAUCCAAGCAACUCUGUCACCUCUGCAUCUGGUGUUGUGCCUGAAGUCUCUAUAUAUAAGCAAGGCCAGCAGUUGGGAAGGAGAGCUGGAUGUGAAGUGGAGGAGAGCAAGGAAAACUGGAACUUAUGAAAACAAACCAGAUCCUAUGAAGACAAGUAGAACUCUUGAGGACAAAUGAAACCUGUGACUUCUUUCACCAUUUCCAAGCUCAUGAACUUAUAGGAGGAGCUGGAGCCCUUUGUCAUAGAGCUGAAUGGACAUCUGGCCGAGCACUCGGAGUAUCUGAAGGAGGACAUUCAGCAGGAGUUGGGGAGCUGCCGGCCUGAGUGCUAUAUCCUACACCAACAAGGUGAACCAGCAGAUCAGUGUCAAAAGCAUGGAAUAGACAUGAGGUGCCCAUCAGUGAAUAAAGCUCUCUCUUUCUUGUGACAAGCAAGCAAGCAAGCAAGCAAGAAGCUCCCAA